rnacentral:rRNA from 1 species
UACGAAGGGGGCUAGCGUUGCUCGGAAUCACUGGGCGUAAAGCGCACGUAGGCGGCUUCUUAAGUCAGGGGUGAAAUCCUGGGGCUCAACCCCAGAACUGCCCUUGAUACUGAGGAGCUUGAGUACGGGAGAGGUGAGUGGAACUCCGAGUGUAGAGGUGAAAUUCGUAGAUAUUUGGAAGAACACCAGUGGCGAAGGCGGCUCACUGGCCCGGUACUGACGCUGAGGUGCGAAAUCGUGGGGAGCAAACAGG